rnacentral:rRNA from 1 species
GACGAACGCUGGCGGCGUGCUUAACACAUGCAAGUCGAGCGGUAAGGCCCUUUCGGGGGUACACGAGCGGCGAACGGGUGAGUAACACGUGGGUGACCUGCCCUUAGCUCUGGGAUAAGCCUGGGAAACUGGGUCUAAUACCGGAUAUGACUCCAUGACGCAUGUUGUGGGGUGAAAGCCUUGUGCGGCUAGGGAUGGGCCCGCGGCCUAUCAGCUUGUUGGUGGGGUNAUGGCCACCAAGGCGACGACGGGUAGCCGGCCUGAGAGGGCGACCGGCCACACUGGGACUGAGAUACGGCCCAGACUCCUACGGGAGGCAGCAGUGGGGAAUCUUGCGCAAUGGGCGAAAGCCUGACGCAGCGACGCCGCGUGA